AACGCACAUUGCGCCCGCCAGUAUUCUGGCGGGCAUGCCUGUUCGAGCGUCAUUUCAACCAUCAAGCCCCGGGCUUGUGUUGGGGACCUGCGGCUGCCGCAGGCCCUGAAAACCAGUGGCGGGCUCGCUAGUCACCCCGAGCGUAGUAGUUACAUCUCGCCCAGGGCGUGCUGCGGGUUCCGGCCGUUAAAACCCCUUCACCCAAGGUUGACCUCGGAUCAGGUAGGAAGACCCGCUGAACUUAA
rnacentral:misc_RNA from 1 species